UUGUUAAAUUAUCCACAAAUGCAUCACACUGUCUUGAAAAGGAAUAAUCAUUAAAAUUGCUUGCUAAGUUUUGUUUCAUAUGAAGAGUAAAAAUGUUUAGUGAAACUUAUAAAUUACCUUUUCAUGAGCACUCCACCUCACCACUUGCCAAAAUUUCAAAAUACCAAAACUACAGCAUGUACAGCAAUAUAAUGUUCAAAUGGCAUGACGGUAUGAAUCUCAAACCAGCUGACUAUUGCAGUUUUUGCGAUGUGCCAUUUGUAUGUGCAUAACAUGCAAUGUCGUUUUACAUAACGCCAAACCCAACUUGACAUGCACCGUUUUUACAAGUUCCAACCUGCAUGGGUUUUUGAGUCCGUAUGUAUUCUUUCUUUUUAAUAUUGUAUUAGCGGACUGAGUCGCUGAGAAGAAAAAAUAAUAACAUUUCAAUAAGAAGCUUCUAUAUAAAUUAAGCAGGCAGACAUGCUGAGCUUGAUUUUCACAUGUGAAGUAAUAAAGAGUGUUAAUUUAGACAGCUCGCCUGAUGAUGCUGGGAUUGGCUCCUGCUUCCCUGCGACCCAGAUGGAUAAAGCGGUGUAGAUAAUGGAUGGAUGGAUGGAAUUUUGACAGCAUAUUUUGCUUUAGUUUAGUCUUAAGAUUGACAAUAAUGCAAUUUAGUGUUAAUCAUAUUUUAGUCAUCGUUAGUUUUAGUACAGUUACGGUCGAUGAAUACUACAGGAAAUUGUCGGCUAAAUCAACUUAAGAGAUCAUGACAGUGAAUUUUUAACACACAUUAAAAGAAAAAAAUAAUUUGUUUCUAUUCAUUGGUGCUUUUCCCUAUUAUUGCUGCUCAACAUGGCUUGCACUGAGUCUUCUUUUCCUUUUCAGUAAAUGUGAAACAGACAGAGAUAUGAUGUAUGCACUUGAAGCAGAUUAGAUCAGCAUUACUCAAUUAUGCACAACUACAGUCAACACUAACUAAAGAUACAACAUCUGAUUGGAACAGUUUCAAAUUUGUCUUUUCCUUACAUUUUCAUCUUGUUUUUAGUCCUUGACUAAAUUAUUACAUUUAGGGCCAGUUUCCCGAACUAGGAUUAAGACUAGUCUUGAACUAAAUUGCCGUUUCAAUGGAGAUUCACCAUUGUAACUCAAAGCUAGUCUAGGCUUAGGCUUAAUCCUUGACUGGGAAACUGGCCAUAUAUCAUAGUUUUCAGCAUCAUGAAUUAAUCUGUAUUAUUGUCCCAUUUUUAUUAAUGAAAAAUCUCUGUUGAUUAAUUUUAGUCAUAGUCUUCAUCAACAAAAAUUAAUGAGGAAGAUGAUUGGCUAUAGGAAUGCCUGUUUAUUGAUCCCUGAUCCUCCUGAGCCUGUGUUAUCUUCAAUAGAUUCAACUCUUCAUCCAGGACCAGACAGGCAUUGUACAUGAUCUACAAAAACCUGGCUAUUAUCCAAAUACAAGCAGUGUCUAGUAGAGAUGCAGAGGCCCAAGGUAUUUGUGUGACUCCCAGACAAAACUGACAGCAUGUGAAAAUAGCAAAGCCCAGGCAGUAUCUGCUUUUAAUAAAGAAUUUUGAACAUUA